UAGCUCAGUGGUAGAGUGCUUGCCUUACAUGCAUGAGGCCCUGGGUUCAAUUCCUCAG
rnacentral:tRNA from 1 species